rnacentral:lncRNA from 1 species
UAACUGUAAACAGCAAUAAUGUACAGCAAAGUAAGAACUAAAAAUAAGUCAGUAUGACCAAAAUAGUCAAUUGACCCCCUAAGGAGUUAUUGCCCUUCAUAGUCAAUUUUUAACAAUUUUCUUAAAAUUUGAAGAUUUUCAAUAACAUUUUCCACAGAAAGUACUGUUAUAGAUAGAGAUAAUUGUAAGCAGCAAGAAUGUUUAAUAAAGUAAGAUCUACAAACACAUCACCAUCACCAAAACACAAUUUUGUCAUGAAUCCAUCUGUGUCCAUUGUUUAAUAUUCACAUAGACCAAGGUGAGCGAC